CUACGGGAGGCAGCAGUGGGGAAUAUUGCACAAUGGGGGAAACCCUGAUGCAGCGACGCCGCGUGAGUGAAGAAGUAUUUCGGUAUGUAAAGCUCUAUCAGCAGGGAAGAAAAUGACGGUACCUGACUAAGAAGCCCCGGCUAACUACGUGCCAGCAGCC
rnacentral:rRNA from 1 species